rnacentral:SRP_RNA from 13 species
GCCAUGCGCGGUGGCGUGUGCCUGUAAUCCCAGCUACUCGGGAGGCUGAAGUGGGAGGAUCGCUUGAGACCAGGAGUUCUGGGCUGUAGUGCGCUAUGCCGAUUGGGUGUCUGCACUAAGUUCGGCAUCAAUAUGGUGACCUCCAGGAGCGGGGGACCACCAGGUUGCCUAAGGAGGGGUGAACUGGCCCAGAUCAGAAAUGGAGCAGGUCAAAACUCCCGUGCUGAUCAGAAGUGGGAUUGUGCCUGUGAAUAGCCACUGCACUCAGCCUGGGCAACAUAGCGAGACCCUGUCUCAA